rnacentral:rRNA from 1 species
UACGGGAGGCAGCAGUGGGGAAUAUUGCACAAUGGGCGAAAGCCUGAUGCAGCUAUGCCGCGUGUAUGAAGAAGGCCUUAGGGUUGUAAAGUACUUUCAUCGGGGAGGAAAAACAAAACUAAUAAUUUUAUUUCUUGACGUUACCCGAAAAAGAAGCACCGGCUAACUCCGUGCCAGCAGCCGCGGUAAUACGGAGGGUGCUAGCGUUAAUCAGAAUUACUGGGCGUAAAGAGCACGUAGGUGGUUUUUUUAAGUCAGAUGUGAAAUCCCUGGGCUUAACCUGGAAACUGCAUUUUGAAACUGAAAUACUAGAGUAUCGUAGAGGGAGGUAGAAUUCUAGGUGUAGCGGUGAAAUGCGUAGAUAUCUGGAGGAAUACCUGUGGCGAAAGCGGCCUCCUAAACGAAUACUGACACUGAGGUGCGAAAGCGUGGGGAGCGAAACAGGGAUUAGAUACC